rnacentral:misc_RNA from 1 species
GUGAAUCAUCGAAUUUUUGAACGCAAAUUGCACUCCCUGGUAUUCCGGGGAGUAUGCCUGUUUGAGGGUCGUUAGAACAAAAAUCGAAGCGUCGCUCUUUUUUUUAGCGGUGAUCGCGGCGGAAUUGAGCCGUCUUUCAAAUGGUAAUUCAUGUCUAGGUGGCUUGAAAUACAUCCAGCCGGUGCGAUUAAAGCGUAUUUAGGAUCAAUUUUGAUUAAUAA